GGAUAAUUUGCUCUUUUAGUAUUUAUCCAGUAGGUUUCCCCAAAGAGAAAGCCCCC
rnacentral:snRNA from 13 species